AACGAACGUUAGCGGCGCGCCUAACACAUGCAAGUCGAGCGAGAAAGGGCUUCGGCCCCGGUAAAGCGGCGCACGGGUGAGUAACACGUGGAUAACCUACCCCUUGGUGGUGGAUAACCUUCCGAAAGGAGGGCUAAUACAGCGUAAGACCACGACUUCGAAAGAGGUUGGGGUAAAAGUGGGCCUCUGUACACAAGCUCACGCCAGGGGGAUGGGUCCGCGGCCCAUCAGCUAGUUGGUAGGGUAACGGCCUACCAAGGCGAAGACGGGUAGCUGGUCUGAGAGGAUGAUCAGCCACACUGGAACUGAGACACGGUCCAGACUCCUACGGGAGGCAGCAGUGGGGAAUCUUGCGUCAAUGGACGAAAGUCUGACGCAGCGACGCCGCGUGAGUGAUGAAGGCCUC
rnacentral:rRNA from 1 species